AUUGAACGCUGGCGGCAGGCUUAACACAUGCAAGUCGAGCGGGGGAAGGUAGCUUGCUACCGGACCUAGCGGCGGACGGGUGAGUAAUGCUUAGGAAUCUGCCUAUUAGUGGGGGACAACAUCUCGAAAGGGAUGCUAAUACCGCAUACGUCCUACGGGAGAAAGCAGGGGAUCUUCGGACCUUGCGCUAACAGAUGAGCCUAAGUCGGAUUGGCUAGUUGGUGGGGUAAAGGCCUACCAAGGCGACGAUCUGUAGCGGGUCUGAGAGGAUGGUCCGCCACACUGGGGCUGAGACACGGCCCAGACUCCUACGGGAGGCAGCAGUGGGGAAUAUUGGACAAUGGGGGGAACCCUGAUCCAGCCAUGCCGCGUGUGUGAAGAAGGCCUUAUGGUUGUAAAGCACUUUAAGCGAGGAGGAGGCUACUUUAGUUAAUACCUAGAGAUAGUGGACGUUACUCGCAGAAUAAGCACCGGCUAACUCUGUGCCAGCAGCCGCCGCAG
rnacentral:rRNA from 1 species